AUUGAACGCUGGCGGCAGGCCUAACACAUGCAAGUCGCACGCGUGGCGGACGGGUGAGUAAUUUCUGGGAAACUGCCUGAUGGAGGGGGAUAACUCCUGGAAACGGUAGCUAAUACCGCCUACCCUCCGAUGUGCCCAGAUGGGAUUAGCUUGUUGGUGGGUUAAAGGAUCACCAAGGCGACGAUCCCUAGCUGGUCUGAGAGGAUGACCAGCCACACUGGAACUGAGACACGGGCCAGACUCCUACGGGAGGCAGCAGGGGGGAAUAUUGCACAAUGGGCGCAAGCCUGAUGGAGCCAUGCCGCGUGUAUGAAGAAGGCCUUCGGGUUGGAAAGUACUUUCAGCGGGGAGGCGUUACCCGCAGAAGAAGCACCGGCUAACUCCGUGCCAGCAGCCGCGGUAAUAC
rnacentral:rRNA from 1 species